GCAUUAAUGGGGUAGUGGUAACCUGGGUCGUUGCCAUAUGUAUCUCGACCCGCCGGGGGUUCGAUUCCCUCUUAAUGCA